rfam:Bifidobacterium psychraerophilum strain LMG 21775 Contig09, whole genome shotgun sequence.
GAGGUUCCGGUUCACGUCUGUUACAAGGACAAGGCGACCCGGUUCC